rnacentral:lncRNA from 1 species
GAGAAUAAAUCUAAUGCGCACUAACGAUCAGGCUUUCAAAUAAUUAUGAACUAAAUUAUGCAACUUCCAGACUCUUUGAGACGAACUGUCUAAUCACUCUUUAUAUCAUCCGAACAAAAACACACUUCAAAAAUAGGUAUGUACAUAACGGCAAACUGCUAACUUCUUAUAUCAGUGAAUACUGAGAUAUAUAUUCACCUGAAUCAAUUUUCUUGCUAAUCUUAAAAUACUAACCUAAGUUCCAUUGCAUGUAUUUAAGAAUAACAUACGCACUUUCUUAUUUUAUCUAUAUCGAUCCUAUCACAGAGUUGUUGCGUUAUCACAGAAUUCCAUUUCCUAUACGUGAACGCCGUUCUUCAUGGCAUCCACGUUAUACUUACACAGGAUACCUGGUGACCUUUGGAAGCACGGUCUCGAUGCACACUGCUACCACUGAUUAAAGCCCAAGAAAAACAGAAAACCAAAUGAUCAAAAACGUAAGUACCUACAAAACAAAUGAUUUUCCAUUUUUUACAUGUGAUUGGUAAUUAUUUGAAAUAAAUGUAAAUAAAUUGUGCAAAAGAAAUGAAUAAUCCAAUCACCUUGCUUCCAUGGUAUUUCCUUCCAUCAAGUCAUUUGUAGAAUGUACUCUCGAACAUUAAAUAGCCGAGUAUGUCCGAGCAGCAUGCUCCACCGACUAAGCAUGUGACUAUAAUGUUUACUCUAAUUUGUUCUUCCUCCGUAAUGAAACAUAAAAAAUGCUCAUCAAUGAAACGCCUACAUAGUUCUGUAGAUUAUGGGAAAACAGAAUUUUUCUUACCUUGUUUCCAUGUUAGUCUAUGUCUCAUAUUUCCAAUAGGUGGUAUCCAUGUUCUCUGGAUGGAUGAGUACCUUCUUAAUUGGAUUACAAACACCUCUGAAGUAGUAGCAAUUGUGGUUAGACUUGUAGCAGCUGAUUUCCCGUGGCCAUGAAUACCUUAGACAACGUGGGGAUAAUCUUCUAUCUCAAAGUUCCACUGCAGCAGGUCGUCAGGGAGCAAGGCAUCGAGGGAGGUGAGGGAGGGCUCGGGUGCUGGCAUCUACGUAGAUUAAGAAGGAGAAUACAAUGGACGAUGGAAAGGAAGGAGGAGACGUAGAUAGAAAAAUAUUGCCUGGCGAUUCUUUGGGGAUAGAUCGAUCGUGAACUUUCGUGGAUAAGUACGAUAGAGGUAGCCUAGAUUGGUUUUUUUACAUGUACC